GCGAAAAUAACUUAAUGCUAGAGCAUAACUUUGCCAAGGCUGAGGUUGAGGGUUCAAGUCCCUCCUUUCGCU
rfam:Cucumis melo, WGS project CAJI01000000 data, contig: 03672